AUUGAACGCUGGCGGCAUGCCUUACACAUGCAAGUCGAACGGCAGCACGGAGCUUGCUCUGGUGGCGAGUGGCGAACGGGUGAGUAAUAUAUCGGAACGUACCCAAGAGUGGGGGAUAACGUAGCGAAAGUUACGCUAAUACCGCAUACGAUCUAAGGAUGAAAGUGGGGGCUCGCAAGACCUCAUGCUCCUGGAGCGGCCGAUAUCUGAUUAGCUAGUUGGUGAGGUAAAGGCUCACCAAGGCAUCGAUCAGUAGCUGGUCUGAGAGGACGACCAGCCACACUGGAACUGAGACACGGUCCAGACUCCUACGGGAGGCAGCAGUGGGGAAUUUUGGACAAUGGGGGCAACCCUGGUCCAGCAAUGCCGCGUGAGUGAAGAAGGCCUUCGGGUUGUAAAGCUCUUUUGUCAGGGAAGAAACGGUGAAGGCUAAUAUCCUUUGCUAAUGACGGUACCUGAAGAAUAAGCACCGGCUAACUACGUGCCAGCCGCCGCAGUAA
rnacentral:rRNA from 1 species